rnacentral:misc_RNA from 1 species
GAAAUGCGAUAAGUAAUGCGAAUUGCAGAAUUCCAGUGAGUCAUCGAAUCUUUGAACGCACAUUGCGCCCUUUGGCAUUCCGAAGGGCAUGCCUGUUCGAGCGUCAUUAUCACCUCUCAAGCCCCCCUUUUCUGGGCUUGGUGUUGGACGGCCUGGCGUCGGCGACGACCCCACCUCCCAAAGACAAUGACGGCGGCUUCGUGAGACCCCCGGUACACUGAGUUCCUCACCGAACACGUACUGGAUCAAGGGUAGACGGAGCCCCGGUCGACCUCCCCUCACAGGGAGACACUUUUUUACAAGGUUGACCUCGGAUCAGGUAGGAAUACCCGCUGAACUUAA